GACGAACGCUGGCGGCGUGCCUAAUACAUGCAAGUAGAACGCACAGUUUAUACCGUAGCUUGCUACACCAUAGACUGUGAGUUGCGAACGGGUGAGUAACGCGUAGGUAACCUGCCUGGUAGCGGGGGAUAACUAUUGGAAACGAUAGCUAAUACCGCAUAAUAUUAAUUAUUGCAUGAUAAUUAAUUGAAAGGUUCAAUUGCACCACUACCAGAUGGACCUGCGUUGUAGUAGCUAGUAGGUGAGGUAACGGCUCACCUAGGCGACGAUACAUAGCCGACCUGGAGGGGGGAUCGGCCCACCUGGGACUGAGGCACGGCCCAGAACCCUUAGGGAGGCAGCAGGAGGGGAUCUUCGGGAAUGGACGAAAGGCUGAACGAGGCACGCCGCGUGAGUGAAGGAGGGUUUCGGAUCGUAAAGCUCUGUUGUAAGAGAAGAAAGGAAGGGGGAGUGGAAAGUGCACACUGUGACGGUAUCUUACCAGAAAGCGACGGCUAACUACGUG
rnacentral:rRNA from 1 species